rnacentral:rRNA from 1 species
UACAGAGGUCUCAAGCGUUGUUCGGAUUCAUUGGGCGUAAAGGGUGCGUAGGUGGGUUGGUAAGUCAGUGAUGAAAUCUCCAGGCUUAACUUGGAAACUGCCAUUGAUACUAUCAAUCUUGAAUACCGUGGAGGUCAGCGGAAUAUGUCAUGUAGCGGUGAAAUGCUUAGAUAUGACAUAGAACACCAAUUGCGAAGGCAGCUGGCUACACGAAUAUUGACACUGAUGCACGAAAGCGUGGGGAUCAAACAGG